GUAAAGUUUACACAAUAUACGUUAUAUUUUAUAUACGUACAUAAUGUGGUAAAUAUACACAAUAUAAAUACAAUUAAAUAACGUAUCCAAAUUACAAUAUACGUACAUAAGGUGAUAAAUAUACGACUGUAUGAUAAAAUUUCGAGUGGGCUUAGAUAGUAAUUGUGUUUAUCACUGUUUAUAUAGUAAUAUAUAGAGCUUUUAUUUUUAAGGUUCAAGUAUUAUAUUAUUUUACGAAUUUGAGUAAUUUGGUUGACCGAAGAGAUUUUCACUCUUUUUCUGUUUUCUUUUUUUUUUUCUUUUUUUUUUAUGACAAGGUUUUGGCACUAGGAAAUUUGUUGCACCAAGAGUAAUA
rnacentral:lncRNA from 1 species